UUGCCCUAUAAAGCUCUGCACAUACAUACAUAUAGAUAAGUAGAUACAUACAUAGAUUUAACAUUCAUAAAUAUGCGUGUACAAGUGUGUGCAAAGUUGUUUCGACUGUUCAUAAAAGCUCCUGCGAACGCUCUGUUAAUUAACAGUGCACCUAUGCAGGGUGCAGUUUGCAUACAUACAUGCACGUCAACCAGCCUUAACAGUUAAAAAAUUUCAGCGACGACGAUCGCAGCAGCCGACAUGUGAGCGCCUCGUCCGUUCAAAACUGAGAGCGUCAGAGCGCAACAACAGCAGCAGCAGAGGCAACGCCAGCGGCGAAAUAAACGUUAUUGUCAUUAAAAGUCUCGCUGUUGGCCCACACAGGCGACAGUUUUGAACGAAUUGUGCUUGUGUUUGGAGUGUGCGUCGCCCGUCGCCGUCGUUGUCGUCGUCGUCGUUGAAAAAGUUAAUAAAAUAAAUUCUCGUUUUGUUUUUAGUUUUUUUUUGCUGCGCCAAAAAAAGUUAGAUAAUUAAAAGGCUUGUGUCAAAACAUUGAGAGCAGACAGCUACGUACAACAAAGUGACAGCUAGCGAUAAUAACGGUACAUUGGUUAACAGCGCAAGAACAGCCGCUUAGCCAUGACACAAACCCAGCACACGAUGCGCAGCUGCAGCAGCAGCAGUAGUAGCAGCGAUUUACAGCAUGCGCAACAGCGACGUCGACGCCAAAUGUCAACGCAUUUUUCGACGCUGUUGCUGCUGCUUGUGAUCAGCUGUGGCAUUUCCGUUGCCGCCGCUGCGACAGCGCAGUCGCGCUUCUCUCAAACCCAAGGCAGAAUACGUCCGCCGCGCGAGAUAUAUGACGACGAUGCCGGCGCCGCUGCCGCCGACGCAGCCGCAGUCGCCGCUGGCGUCGAGGCUGCGGAGGCAACAAGCUGCUGCCAGGGCGCAGCAGCCACAUCUGUCGAGCCUGUCACGCUUUCGCUGGAACUGGGCAAUGUGACAACAGACUACGAUGGCUCCGUCGAAAACUCCUCCAAGGAGAACUUUAAGCGCAGCGUGGCACGUGCUGCCAUUCGGAAUGCGACGCCAGCGAGCUGCUCGCCGCAGCCGACGAUUGUGGAGCUGCGGCCACUGACGGAGCAGGCCGGGGAGCAGACGGCUUCGAAUGUCUACUAUUCGCCGGCGUGCACGCGCAUCAAUCGCUGCAAUGGUUGCUGCGGCUCCACGCUGAUCUCGUGCCAGCCGACGCAGAUAGAGACGCUGCAGCUGCGCGUGCGCAAAGUGGAGCGUUUCGGGGCGAGCAGCAAGCGGGGCUAUGCCAUUGUCAAUGUGGAUCAGCAUUUGGCAUGCAAAUGCGAUUGCCGCAUCAAGGCCGAGGACUGCAAUGCGUAUCAGGAGUACCGCAAGGAUCUGUGCCGCUGCGAGUGCCAAAAUACGGACGCGCGCGACAAGUGCCUGGAGCAAUCGGAUCACAAAUAUUGGGACGACGCCAACUGCACCUGCGCCUGCCGCUACAACCAGAGCUGCACCACCGGCACCGUCUUCGACGAGACCCAAUGCAAAUGCACCGAUAUCAAGAGUCUCGAGUAUUAUUCCUAGACUACGUACAUUUCAUAUAAAACUUACUUAAAUAGUUGUUGUUGAUGUAGUUGUUGUUGCCGUUGUUGCUGCUGCUUGUUGUUUGUUUGAUUGCAGAGGCAGCUUUAGCAUAAAUCACUCCAAAUAUUUAGAAAUAAGCAUCAUAAUCAAUGCAGCGACAGCAGCAGCAGCAGCAGCAGCAACAGCAGCAACAACAGCAACAUUGAUGACAUCGACAAUAUUGUUGUUUCAACUACAAUGUGAUACGUGAAAAAUUGCCAAAUUGGAAAUUGAUAUCGAAAUACAAAUUUGUUUAGGAGCAUGUUUUUGUUUUAAGGCAAUUGUAACUUAUAGCUGAGUUGAGGCCAAAAGAGAAAAGCUAAAAAAUGAAUCAAUCAAAGUAUGAAAAUAUGAUCAAAUUCUGUUGCAUUGUCCAUCGGCGCCCAGCGACGUGGCCGACCGCAGACGCUUCAUAAUACAGGCCGUGGCCGUGGAGCCGGACAACAGCACCAUCU